GACGAACGCUGGCGGCGUGCUUAACACAUGCAAGUCGAACGAGUGUCGAACGGGUGAGUAAUACGUGGGUAACCUGCCCUCCUUUUUGGGAUAAGCCUUGGAAACGGGGUCUAAUACCGAAUAAAGGGGUAUGGGCUCGCGGCCUAUCAGCUUGUUGGUGGGGUGAUGGCUACCAAGGCGUGACGGGUAGCCGGCCUGAGAGGAUGUACGGCCACAUUGCGACUGAGAUACGGACCAGACUCCUACGGGAGGUAGCAGUGGGGAAUAUUGCACACUGGGGGGAAGCCUGAUGCAGAGACGCCGGGUGGGGGAUGAAGGCCUUCGGGUUGUAAACUACUUUCGACAGGGACGCGGUACCUGUAUAAGAAGCACCGGCUAACUACGUGCCAGCAGCCGCGGUAAUAC
rnacentral:rRNA from 1 species